rnacentral:rRNA from 1 species
UACAGAGGUCUCAAGCGUUGUUCGGAUUCAUUGGGCGUAAAGGGUGUGUAGGUGGCGCCGUAAGUCGGGUGUGAAAUUUCGAGGCUUAACCUCGAAACUGCAUUCGAUACUGCGGUGCUUGAGGACUGGAGAGGAGACUGGAAUUCAUGGUGUAGCAGUGAAAUGCGUAGAUAUCAUGAGGAAGACCGGUGGCGAAGGCGGAUCUCUGGACAGUUCCUGACACUGAGGCACGAAGGCUAGGGGAGCAAACGGG